rnacentral:rRNA from 1 species
CUGACACAGGUGCUGCAUGGCUGUCGUCAGCUCGUGUCGUGAGAUGUUCGGGUUAAGUCCCGUAACGAGCGCAACCCUUGUCCUUAGUUACCAGGCACGUUAUGGUGGGCACUCUAAGGAGACUGCCGGUGGACAAACCGGAGGAAGGUGGAGGAUGACGUCAAGUCAUCAUGGCCCUUACGGCCUGGGCUACACACGUGCUACAAUGGUCGGUACAAAGGGUUGCCAAGCCGCGAGGUGGAGCUAAUCCCAUAAAACCGAUCGUAGUCCGGAUCGCAGUCUGCAACUCGACUGCGUGAAGUCGGAAUCGCUAGUAAUCGUGAAUCAGAAUGUCACGGUGAAUACGUUCCCGGGCCUU